ACAGCAGUCGCCACGGUAAUACGUAGGGUGCAAGCGUUAAUCGGAAUUACUGGGCGUAAAGCGUGCGCAGGCGGUUUGUUAAGACAGAUGUGAAAUCCCCGGGCUCAACCUGGGAACUGCAUUUGUGACUGGCAAGCUAGAGUCUGGCAGAGGGGGGUGGAAUUCCGCGUGUAGCAGUGAAAUGCGUAGAUAUGCGGAGGAACACCGAUGGCGAAGGCAGCCCCCUGGGCCAAUACUGACGCUCAUGCACGAAAGCGUGGGGAGCAAACAGGAUUAGAUACCCCUGUAGUCCCUGUCUCUUAUAC
rnacentral:rRNA from 1 species